rnacentral:rRNA from 1 species
UUGCCAGCAGCCGCGGUAACACGUAGGGGGCGAGCGUUGUCCGGAUUUAUUGGGCGUAAAGAGCUCGUAGGCGGCUUGGUAAGUCAGGUGUGAAACCCCCGGGCUCAACCCGGGGACGCCACCUGAUACUGCUAUGGCUUGAGUCCGGUAGGGGAGCGUGGAAUUCCUGGUGUAGCGGUGAAAUGCGCAGAUAUCAGGAGGAACACCAGCGGCGAAGGCGGCGCUCUGGGCCGGAACUGACGCUGAGGAGCGAAAGCGUGGGGAGCAAACAGGAUUAGAUACCCGCGUAGUCC